UGAAAAUCAGGAAGUCCACUUAGAGAUUUCUUUAAGAGCUGGCAGAGACUAAACCUCUGUUUUGUAAAAUCCUUUAGUCCUGCACACCCUCCCUGGCCCUGGUCCUGAGUCCAACCCUCAGCCUCUCUCCAUGCUCUCACUCUCGGUGAGGCCACGCUCAUCCACACAGCUCCACUCCUUAGUUCACUUCUGAUUCUAGGAACUUGACACACUGACGUGAACCAAAUGGAGGAACAUUUUUGUCCUCACUGAACUGGCACCAACCCAAAGAGACACAAAGAAUGUGAUCGACACGUGAAAACGUAGGCGUGUUAGCCAGACACGCACAAGCAGGAGUAUCAGCCAAGAAAGGGCACAGUGGGGAGGGCGGCUUCCAAGAGGCUGCAGGGUGGAGGGGCUCUGAGGACAGGCAGGCUGGGAGGUGAUCUCGGGGCACAGGAUCAAGGGGCUGCCAUCGCUGCUGGGGAUCAGAAAUGGGAGUUCGGAGCCAGCACAAGGGGUCAGGACUGAAGACUUCCAUCUGCGGCUCUCAGCAGACGAGGCCAGCAGAGCUCAGGGGAGGCCAGACGCUGGGCAGGAGAGGAGGGCAAGGAGGGACCUGAGGCCAGGACCAGGACUCGAUGUGGAGCAGGAGAUGCGUGAAUCGGGGAGGGCACCGGGCCCUGCAGGGAGCAGCAGGACUGUGUCCAGGACAGGGACGGUGUCCAGAGCAGGGACCGUUCCGUCAGAAGCGAGUCCUCCAGGAUGGGGAAGAGCUGGAGACCGGAGAGAGAGAGAAGGGAAGGAUGAGCCACCGAUAGAACCCCUCAGAUGUUCCUCCAUUUGGUUCACUUCAGUGUGCCAAGUUCUUGGAAUUAGAAGUGAGUUAAGGAGUGCAGCGUGCGUUGCUCAUCUGGAGUGAGAAAGGAAGAGACUUUAACUCAGCUCGCCGUGGGGCAUUGGUUGACUUGAGUCCAAAAAAUGCCGAGCUCUUCGAAAAGCAGUUUCCCUUUUGAAAUACAUACAACCCAACAACCCAAGGGGAGCAGAAGUAAAACUGUCACUGCCCACUGGCCGGACAUUUGACCUGACAGUCUUUAGCUUUCUUUGAUUUGCUAAAUUACACGUGGCACGCACGGGAGGGGAAGAGGGACAGAAGUUGAAGGAAGGAGUAAAUCACUUAGCGACAGAGGCAUCUCCAAGCGGGGGUCUGGCUGGUGCAGACAGGGAGGACGUGACUCAGGAAGGUCCUUGGACAGUAAGAAUGACAUUUGCAACCCUUUCAAGGCUGGCAGAUAACAUGGGUGCCAGUUACAGGGAGGGGCGUGGUUUUCUCAGUCCUUGGGCCCUGCUGUGGUCGGGCCGGUGGGUCAGCAUCUUGCCUGACUACUGACUUUUAUCUCCUCUCCCCCUUUUUCUAACAGAAGGCAGGCAAGGGAGAGAGAUGGUCUCCUCUCACUUUCAGCUCUUACGUCUGUAUGGGGUGUUGUUAACAGUUAAUCCUCACGAUCUUCCUGGUUAACAUUCUCACCCUUUGCUUUUUCCAUGUGAGAACUUUCAUGUAUUACAUAUUUAACCAGGUUUUAAAUUUUCCACAUUGUAUUUAUCCAAAAUGCAAUCAUUGCUCUAGUGUUUCUUGAGGCCCAGAGUGAAAUAUCAGCAUUUUAAUUCCUAUGAAGAGAAAAGCCCUCCUGCUCUGAGAAAGAGGGAGAGCAGGAGGACAAGGAGAGGUGAGGAGAAAGGAGGAGCGGGGACGGAGGAAGUCAGAAGGCUGGUGCACCCCCGUCCUGCCCGCAGCGCAUCCCUGGUUGAUUCAGAAUUAACAUUGACUGAUUCUUUAUAAAGCCACUGCCUGACUCAAGAAACAUAAAAGUUUUACCAACUUAAUGUUCCAGAAACAAAACCGUAUCACCCAAUGCAGG
rnacentral:lncRNA from 13 species